ensembl:snoRNA
AAUCCCUGGCAAUGGGCAAAGAGGCACCUUUUUGGUGGUGUUGUCCUUCUAUCAGCCAGAGACAGAGCAGAUGGCCGUCCUUUGUUCAUCCUACCUUGAUGCCUGGCUUGGUGGCUGACACUGUUUUAUGCCUAGGACUCAUAA